CUUAUGAAGCAAUGCCGCGUGAACGAUGAAGGUCUUAUAGAUUGUAAAGUUCUUUUAUAUGGGAAGAAACGCUAAGAUAGGAAAUGAUUUUAGUUUGACUGUACCAUUUGAAUAAGUAUCGGCUAACUAUGUGCCAGCAGCCGCGGUAAUACAUAGGAUGCAAGCGUUAUCCGGAUUUACUGGGCGUAAAACGAGCGCAGGCGGGUUUGUAAGUUUGGUAUUAAAUCUAGAUGCUUAACGUCUAGCUGUAUCAAAAACUGUAAACCUAGAGUGUAGUAGGGAGUUGGGGAACUCCAUGUGGAGCGGUAAAAUGCGUAGAUAUAUGGAAGAACACCGGUGGCGAAGGCGCCAACUUGGACUAUCACUGACGCUUAGGCUCGAAAGUGUGGGGAGCAAAUAGGAUUAGAUACCCUAGUAGUCCACACCGUAAACGAUCAUCAUUAAAUGUCGGCUCGAACGAGUCGGUGUUGUAGCUAACGCAUUAAAUGAUGUGCCUGGGUAGUACAUUCGCAAGAAUGAAACUCAAACGGAAUUGACGGGGACCCGCACAAGUGGUGGAGCAUGUUGCUUAAUUUGACAAUACACGUAGAACCUUACCUAGGUUUGACAUCUAUUGCGACGCUAUAGAAAUAUAGUUGAGGUUAACAAUAUGACAGGUGGUGCAUGGUUGUCGUCAGCUCGUGUCGUGAGAUGUUGGGUUAAGUCCCGCAACGAGCGCAACCCCUUUCGUUAGUUGCUUUUCUAGCGAUACUGCUACCGCAAGGUAGAGGAAGGUGGGGAUGACGUCAAAUCAUCAUGCCCCUUAUAUCUAGGGCUGCAAACGUGCUACAAUGGCUAAUACAAACUGCUGCAAAAUCGUAAGAUGAAGCGAAACAGAAAAAGUUAGUCUCAGUUCGGAUAGAGGGCUGCAAUUCGCCCUCUUGAAGUUGGAAUCACUAGUAAUCGCGAAUCAGACAUGUCGCGGUGAAUACGUUCUCGGGUCUUGUACACACCGCCCGUCAAACUAUGGGAGCUGGUAAUAUCUAAAACCGCAAAGCUAACCUUUUGGAGGCAUGCGUCUAGGGUAGGAUCGGUGACUGGAGUUAAGUCGUAACAAGGUAUCCCUACGAGAACGUGGGGAUG
rnacentral:rRNA from 1 species